UAGGGAAUCUUCCACAAUGGGCGAAGGCCUGAUGGAGCAACGCCGCGUGUGUGAUGAAGGGUUUCGGCUCGUAAAACACUGUUGUAAGAGAAGAAUGACAUUGAGAGUAACUGUUCAAUGUGUGACGGUAUCUUACCAGAAAGGAACGGCUAAAUACGUGCCAG
rnacentral:rRNA from 1 species